GGGCCUGUAGCUCAGUUGGUUAGAGUACUUCGAUGGCAUCGAAGGGGUCAGGAGUUCGACUCUCCUCAGGUCCA
rnacentral:tRNA from 2 species